AAUGUGAACGUUACCAAACUGUUGCCUCGGCGGGGUCACGCCCCGGGUGCGUAAAAGCCCCGGAACCAGGCGCCCGCCGGAGGAACCAACCAAACUCUUUCUGUAGUCCCCUCGCGGACGUAUUUCUUACAGCUCUGAGCAAAAAUUCAAAAUGAAUCAAAACUUUCAACAACGGAUCUCUUGGUUCUGGCAUCGAUGAAGAACGCAGCGAAAUGCGAUAAGUAAUGUGAAUUGCAGAAUUCAGUGAAUCAUCGAAUCUUUGAACGCACAUUGCGCCCGCCAGUAUUCUGGCGGGCAUGCCUGUCCGAGCGUCAUUUCAACCCUCGAACCCCUCCGGGGGAUCGGCGUUGGGGAUCGGGACCCCUCACCGGGUGCCGGCCCUGAAAUACAGUGGCGGUCUCGCCGCAGCCUCUCCUGCGCAGUAGUUUGCACAACUCGCACCGGGAGCGCGGCGCGUCCACGUCCGUAAAACACCCAACUUCUGAAAUGUUGACCUCGGAUCAGGUAGGAAUACCCGCUGAACUUAAGCAUAUCAAUAAGCGGAGGAAAAGAAACCAACCAC
rnacentral:rRNA from 1 species